rnacentral:lncRNA from 10 species
AGAGUCUAUGCAAGAUGUAGAAGUGACUGCUGAGCACCCGCUGUGCACAGAUCAUUAAGCCAGUGCUGAAGAGGCAGUGCCUCUGAUUAUGAGCGCACCCUCAAGUUCGCCCAAAGUGCAGUGUGGAGGGAGGAUUCCUGAAUUUGGAGGCCUCAGUGGGAACAGAUAGACCCAAGAGGAAACAAACUAGGAGUCCAGUCAAGCCACUGGAGGCCCAGAGGAUGUUGCAAGGACAGCAGACAUGUGGUUUAGAGGAACAGGGGGCAGACAGGCAGCAGAGUCCAGCAAUAGCUGAGACAAUGGUACAAGGGAGGCUGCCUAAUUUAUAGCACCCCACGGUCCCCAAGUGCUGAUUGUGGCCCAAGAGGAGUCAGAGACCAGCAGAGACAAGGUCUCACUGUAUUGCUGAGUCUGGCCUCAAACUCCUAGGAUCAAGCAAUCCUCCUACCUCGAUCUCCCAAAGUGUUAGGAUUACAGAGACACAUGGUAGAAUUGCACUUCCUGGCUCACCUUUGGCUGAAUGGGGCCAUGUGACUAGUCAUAGCCAAGGAAUUAUGACUUCUGCCUU